GCAGCAGUAAGGAAUAUUGCGCAAUGGGCGAAAGCCUGACGCAGCGACGCCGCGUGGGGGAUGAAGGUCUUCGGAUUGUAAACCCCUUUCGGGAGGGAAGAUGGAAUGGGGUAACCCAUUCGGACGGUACCUCCAGAAGCAGCCACGGCUAACUUCGUGCCAGCAGCCGCGGUAAUACGAAGGUGGCAAGCGUUAUUCGGAUUUACUGGGCGUACAGGGAGCGUAGGCGGUUCGGUAAGCCCUUUGUGAAAUCUCCAGGCUUAACCUGGAACAGUCGGAGGGGACUGCCGGGCUAGAGGACGGGAGAGGAGCGCGGAAUUCCCGGUGUAGCGGUGAAAUGCGUAGAGAUCGGGAGGAAGGCCGGUGGCGAAGGCGGCGCUCUGGAACGUUUCUGACGCUGAGGCUCGAAAGCGUGGGGAGCAAACAGGAUUAGAUAC
rnacentral:rRNA from 1 species